ensembl:lncRNA
AAGUUUAGAAAGAAAAUAUGCCUUUAAAAAAAAUUAAUUUUUAUAUGUCUGACAUAUCUAAUAUGAGCCCCGUCUCUCCUUGUCUCAGGUCGUGGAGCAGAUGAACGUUAAUAAAUUCUGGGAAGUCCUGACUAUGCUUCACCCCGAGAUUCUUUUGCGUAUCUCUCCCAGUGAUGUGCUGUACCUCUCCCAGAAGAUUGAAAUGGACCUGAGUCCACUGGGUGGCACUCACUUUGUAAAAGGCGAUGCAACAGAGGUCAUGUUGUCUAUUGCCACCAACUACGUGAAAAUGUCAAGUUUGUUGCUGGAACCCCACGUGGCUGCACAUUGGAUGGGCAGCACUGAAGAUGGGGUCAGUGUGGGGCCAUUUACUGUCAUUAGGAGCAUCGAUCGUCUCUCUGAAGCUCUUGCAGAUGUGCUUUUUGCUGAGCAAAGAGGAUUCACUCUUUCUACCAAGAACAUAGAUGUGUUCCUAAAAUGGCAGAAUCUAUCUGAAGAGAUCUGUAGUCAGGUAUUCAAGACAUCUGACUCUGGUAGUGGUCAGGAUGAGCUACUGAUCCCAGACACUGAGCUUCAGAGAAUAACUACGCUAGGUAAGAAAUUGGUAAAAAGCAUUUAAACAAAGAUCAAAGGUAGUUAGAUAGUUAGGUAGUAGAUUCACUACCUAUAACGUCAGUAAAACGUUACUAACUACUACAGGUUGUUACAUAUUUGAAAUCUGCUGAAUGUUAUGGCUUCUUAAGUAAACUAAGGAUUUCAUAUCAGUGAGCAAUCAAAAGAAAUGUAUCUCUCUUGCUUAUUUCUGUCCUCAGGAUAUGACGAAGUGAUGUUUGUUCAUACCCAUUACAGCCAUUUGAAUGAGCUCCUGUCUGUAUCACGAGAGCCACAGACUCAACAGGACAUAACAAAAAGGUUGGAUGUAGGCUUGUAUUCAAACUUGGAUGCAGCAAACAUUUUAAUAGUCUUUAGUUUUAAGAGCCAAACUCUUUAAAUAUUGUCAAAAAAAACUGAACCGUGCACUUUUUAAAAUGGGGAUUUUGAUCGUUUGAAAAGUUAAUUGCCGUAGGAAAGAUUUUAAUGUUACUCUUAUUUGUAGUGUUUACCACCAUGUGCAUCUGUUAGGGAUAAUUCUUGUUCUUCCUAGAACCCCUCCACGUCACCUUGCUUCUGGUGUCAUAUCAGCUGCCGUCCGCGUUGCCUCCAAGGCCCAAAGUGUCCCUGUGGCUGUACAGUACACCCUUUCCUCAUCAAACUUGGUACAGCCCAUUGUUUCAAACCAUUUCUUUGCUCUGUUGCUCAAGACUAGUAGCCAUGUUUUUCUUAAGUCGCUGUCCUCUGAUAAACUCUGCAAGAAGAGCAUGUCACCAGAGAGGAAUUCUUCCUGCUAACAUCCCGUGGCGUUUGUCCAUCUAAUUUCUGGCUGACUGUAGUCCAGAGUAAUAUAUCAGAUAGACGUAGAAAGACUAGGAAGUCCCCAGCAAACAUGUGUUUUUGAUUGUAGGUGGAGUAUUCACAUCGAGCUUCUCCACUUUGUGCAUUUUGGAAUUUCAGCCUCAUGUAAGUUUGACCAACAGCACAAACUAACAGUGGUAUGAAAUGUUUGGAUAUAGUGCAUACAC